rnacentral:rRNA from 1 species
UACGGAGGGGGCAAGCGUUAUUCGGAUUUACUGGGCGUAAAGGGUGCGUAGGCGGCCGUGCAAGUCUGAUGUGAAAUCUUCACCGCUCAACGGGAAGAGGUCAUUGGACACUGCAUGGCUUGAAUGUGGUAGAGGCAAGCGGAAUUCCUGGUGUAGCGGUGGAAUGUGCAGAUAUCAGGAAGAGCACCUGUGGCGAAGGCGGCUUGCUGGGCCAUUAUUGACGCUGAGGCACGAAAGCGUGGGGAGCGAGCGGG